ACGGAAGGCAGCAGUGGGGAAUAUUGCACAAUGGGGGAAACCCUGAUGCAGCGACGCCGCGUGAGUGAAGAAGUAUUUCGGUAUGUAAAGCUCUAUCAGCAGGAAAGAAAAUGACGGUACCUGACUAAGAAGCCCCGGCUAACUACGUGCCAGCAGCCGCGGUAAUACGUAGGGGGCAAGCGUUAUCCGGAUUUACUGGGUGUAAAGGGAGCGUAGACGGCUUUGCAAGUCUGAAGUGAAAGCCCGGGGCUCAACCCCGGAACUGCUUUGGAAACUGUAGAGCUAGAGUGCAGGAGAGGUAAGUGGAAUUCCUAGUGUAGCGGUGAAAUGUGUAGAUAUUAGGAGGAACACCAGUGGCGAAGGCGGCUUACUGGACUGUAACUGACGUUGAGGCUCGAAGGCGUGGGGAGCAAACAGGAUUAGAUACCCUGGUA
rnacentral:rRNA from 3 species